GAUGAACGCUAGCGGCAGGCUUAAUACAUGCAAGUCGAGGGGUAGCAAGAUUGUAGCAAUACAAUUGUUGACGACCGGCAAACGGGUGCGGAACACGUACACAACCUUCCUACAAGUGGGGAAUAGCCCAGAGAAAUUUGGAUUAAUACCCCGUAACAUAGCGAUGUGGCAUCACAUUGCUAUUAUAGCUUCGGCGCUUGUUGAUGGGUGUGCGGCUGAUUAGAUAGUUGGCGGGGUAACGGCCCACCAAGUCUACGAUCAGUAGCGGAUGUGAGGGAAUGCUCAGCCACACGGGCACUGAGAUACGGGCCCGACACAUACGGGAGGCAGCAGUAAGGAAUAUUGGACAAUGGACGCAAGUCUGAUCCAGCCAUGCCGCGUGAAGGAUUAAGGUCCUCUGGAUUGUAAACUUCUUUUAUAAGGGACGAAAAAAGGUCUUUCUAGAUCGUCUGACGGUACCUUAUGAAUAAGCACCGGCUAACUACGUGCCAGCCGCCGCAGUAACAC
rnacentral:rRNA from 1 species